rnacentral:rRNA from 1 species
UGGCGGCGCGCCUAAUACAUGCAAGUCGAGCGAGAAGACGUAGCAAUACGUUUGUAAAGCGGCGAACGGGUGAGGAAUACAUGGGUAACCUACCCUUGAGUGGGGAAUAACUAGCCGAAAGGUUAGCUAAUACCGCGUACGCUCCUUGGACUUCGGUUCGGGGAGGAAAGCGCUACCGUGGGUAGCGCGCUCUUGGAUGGGCUCAUGUCCUAUCAGCUUGUUGGUGAGGUAACGGCUCACCAAGGCUUCGACGGGUAGCUGGUCUGAGAGGACGAUCAGCCACACUGGCACUGCGACACGGGCCAGACUCCUACGGGAGGCAGCAGUAAGGAAUAUUGCGCAAUGGGCGAAAGCCUGACGCAGCGACGCCGCGUGGGGGAUGAAGGUCUUCGGAUUGUAAACCCCUUUCGGGAGGGAAGAUGGAAUGGGGUAACCCAUUCGGACGGUACCUCCAGAAGCAGCCACGGCUAACUUCGUGCCAGCAGCCGCGGUAAUACGAAGGUGGCAAGCGUUAUUCGGAUUUACUGGGCGUACAGGGAGCGUAGGCGGUUCGGUAAGCCCUUUGUGAAAUCUUCAGGCUUAACCUGGAACAGUCGGAGGGGACUGCCGGGCUAGAGGACGGGAGAGGAGCGCGGAAUUCCCGGUGUAGCGGUGA